ACUUCUUAAAUAUGUUGUCCAUGGAUUCCUCACAACUAAGAACCAUGACAUUUUGAUUUCAUUAACAUAGUCUGGAAAAAUGACAAGUGGUUAGAUGUGUAAGUCAAGAGUACCAAUGCAUACAUGCUAAACUUACAAUAUGAUGGUGCUGAAGAAACAGUUCUUACUACUUCAUCCCCUGAUUUAAAUUUUGGGAACAAGUAAAAAAGGCUUGGCAGAUAGAGAACAGUGAUUACAAGUUACCUGCAAUAUGUACCAAUCUGCGAAAUGCAUUGAACAUAGCACAGAGUACUGCUGAGGAACGAAUUUUGGCCUAUGUCUCCUAACAAAUUUCGUCCAUUUAUUCAACCUCUCCUUGUCAUUCAUGGGGAAACGAUGUACUGAGACACCCUCUGUGUGUUGACUGUUUGUACAACUUUUUCCGUUGGGCCAACCAGCAACACAAUAUUGUCCUCCUCGACGAUUUUUUGCAGAAUUUUGCCUACUCGCCAUAUUUUAACUUGCGGUGUAUCGUUACGUUUGACUAACUUAAUAAAAAAUUAUUCUCCUUA